rnacentral:misc_RNA from 2 species
CCCAACUAUCCCUAUUAAUCAUUACGGUGAUCCUAGAAACCAACAAAAUAGAACCAUGCCGUCCUAUUCUAUUAUUCCAUGCUAAUGUAUUCGAGCAAAAAUGCCUGCUUUAAACACUCUAAUUUUUUCAAGGUAAAGGUCCUGGAUCCGCAAGACACCCAAAAUUAAGGACAUCCAAGUUUCUCCAGAAGGUGAGAAAUCAACAGCAACAGUUCAUACCCCCUCCUUAAGGCACACGACCAUCACACGUCAAUCCCGAAAUUCAACUACGAGCUUUUUAACUGCAACAACUUUAAUAUACGCUAUUGGAGCUGGAAUUACCGCGGCUGCUGGCACCAGACUUGCCCUCCAA